UGGGGAAUAUUGCGCAAUGGGGGCAACCCUGACGCAGCCAUGCCGCGUGAAUGAAGAAGGCCUUCGGGUUGUAAAGUUCUUUCGGUAGCGAGGAAGGCAUUUAGUUUAAUAAACUGGAUGAUUGACGUUAACUACAGAAGAAGCACCGGCUAACUCCGUGCCAGCAGCCGCGGUAAUACGGAGGGUGCGAGCGUUAAUCGGAAUAACUGGGCGUAAAGGGCACGCAGGCGGUGACUUAAGUGAGGUGUGAAAGCCCCGGGCUUAACCUGGGAAUUGCAUUUCAUACUGGGUCGCUAGAGUACUUUAGGGAGGGGUAGAAUUCCACGUGUAGCGGUGAAAUGCGUAGAGAUGUGGAGGAAUACCGAAGGCGAAGGCAGCCCCUUGGGAAUGUACUGACGCUCAUGUGCGAAAGCGUGGGGAGCAAACAGGAUUAGAUACCCUGGUAGUCCACGCUGUAAACGAUGUCGAUUUGGGGGUUGAGCUUUAAGUUUGGCGCCCGUAGCUAACGUGAUAAAUCGACCGCCUGGGGAGUACGGCCGCAAGGUUA
rnacentral:rRNA from 1 species